GAUGAACGCUGGCGGCGUGCCUAAUACAUGCAAGUCGAGCGAACAGACGAGGAACUUGCUCCUCUGACGUUAGCGGCGGACGGGUGAGUAACACGUGGAUAACCUACCUAUAAGACUGGGAUAACUUCGGGAAACCGGAGCUAAUACCGGAUAAUAUAUUGAACCGCAUGGUUCAAUAGUGAAAGACGGUUUUGCUGUAACUUAUAGAUGGAUCCAGGCCGCAUUAGCUAGUGGGAAAGGUAAAGGCUUACCAAGGCAACGAUGCGUAGCCGACCUGAGAGGGUGAUCGUCACGAUAGGAUCUGAGACACGGUCCAGACCACUACGAGAAGCAGCAUUAUAGACACUUCCGCAAUGAGCGGAAGCCUGACGGGACAACACGCCGUCAGUGAUGGAAAUCUUCGGAGCGUAAAAAUCAGUUAUUAGAGAAGAACCAAUAUGUAAGUAACUAUGAGCGGCUUGACGGUACCUAAUCAGAUAAACACGGCUAACUACGUG
rnacentral:rRNA from 1 species